ensembl:lncRNA
CUGUGUCACGUCACUUUCACUUUAAAUCGGGCAGUAAAUAGAGACCAAUGCUAACCUGUCAUUAUGUAUUUUACAGUGUAUUAAAACAAAUCUUCACUCAUCAUCAUUCCUGUUAUGUUCAAUAGUGAAAUGUUACCUCCUAUCGACUAAGAUAAGCACCCCCUUAGUUUUAUUAUGAGCACAAGCGAAGGCUGCAUGUUUGUAGUACUUGUUUCGAAAAUGUGCCAUAUCACAUUGUUUUAAAUGGGACUCUAUAAUGGGUGUGCUAUAAUAAUAUUUGUAUAAUUGUAGAUAUCUGAGCACCGGGGACUUGUUUACCACCAUCGCCAACAGUUUUAGGUUAGGCAUCAGCACUGUAGGGAUGACUGUGAAGGAGACCUGUGACCAAAUCUUGCUUCAGCUCAAGGAAACUUACAUGCCAACUCCAACUGAGGACAUCUGGAAACACAUGGCGAGGAGGUUCAAUGAAAGACAAUGGAUUUUUUCGUGAAGGAAAACUUGCGACAAUGAAAUCUCUGCCAGUUAAUUGAAACAUUUCAAGGUAAGUAAACUGUUUAAAUUAAUGAUACGUAUAUGUUUUCAAUUUUAAUUAGACCUAUGACUUCCAACAAUUAUGAAAAAAGAUAAAUGAGGUGAAAUGAUAAGUGUGUUGUUGCCGCAUUCCAUCCAACACAGCUUCCUUUCAUUUACAGUGUACUUUUGUUCCUCCCUACAACUCCAAACUUAACGACCAAAUCAGUCAAAUAGGUAAAGUGUGGUAAAAUGUUCUCACAUUAGUUAACCUAGUACUAGUUUUUGAUUAAGUAUUGAUAAUUGUGAAACUUCCCUGAUAUUUAUAAUUGCUAAUUUCAUGAAAGACUUUAUUCAUAACGAAAACCAAUAACUAUGCUAAAUAAUCAUGAUUUCAGUAUUGACAAAAAUAAUUGUUUAUAUUUUUGCCAUAAAUGAGCAGCUAGCAACUAAUUUCCUAGUUUAUCUGUAAAAUAUUUCUUCUUCUGCUUCAUCU